rnacentral:snoRNA from 9 species
AAGCAACACUCUGUGGCAGAUGAUUGAAAAUGUCUGACACAAUUUGAGCUUGCUAUAGCAAGAAAGUCUAACCUAUUCCGGUGUUCUCUUCUCCGUGAGACGAGCCGUUAUAUAGACUCAAACAGU